AGUGCCUAUCGGGCAGCCAGUGAACAUUUGUCCAUCUUUAAGGCAUUAAACUGAGAAGAACCACUGAGGAAAGCAUGCCACAGUCUUUCCCAAAAUCCCUGUGUCUUAAGGAACAACCAAGAAGUUAACUGGUCAGGGAAAAGAUUUCUUUUGGAACACAGAAGCCAUCGCUGUGUGCGGAAAUCCAUGACCUGGCCAUGACUUCUACAACCCGGAGGACUUGCCUGGCAUUACCGAAAAGCACAGGGGAAAGAUUCUGUGGCAGAGAAUGAUGGGAGUUGUGAUCCAUACCUCCGUGUGCAUAAUGGUUGUACCUGCUCCAGGAAGGCGCUGGAUCCUCCCAACUCCAUGGCCUGUUCCAGCCACCGUGUCAACAUGCCUUGGUCCAUAGCUCUGGAAGGCACACACCAAGCAGGACCAGUGAACAGAAGAUGAGAAGGGAAGAGAUUAGGACACAAACAACAGACAGAAGGUGACCACAGGAGGACACAGUGAGAAGCUGGCCAUCUGCAAGCCAAGGAGAGAGACCUCAGGAGAAACCAAACCUGCCAGCACCUUAAUCUUAGACUUCUAGCCCUCAGAACGGUGAGGAAAUAAAUCUCUGUUGUUCAUGCC
rnacentral:lncRNA from 10 species